rnacentral:rRNA from 1 species
AGUGAACGCUGGCGGUAGGCCUAACGCAUGCAAGUCGAACGGCAGCACAGUAAGAGCUUGCUCUUACGGGUGGCGAGUGGCGGACGGGUGAGGAAUACAUCGGAAUCUACUUUUUCGUGGGGGAUAACGUAGGGAAACUUACGCUAAUACCGCAUACGACCUACGGGUGAAAGCAGGGGAUCUUCGGACCUUGCGCGAUUGAAUGAGCCGAUGUCGGAUUAGCUAGUUGGCGGGGUAAGGGCCCACCAAGGCGACGAUCCGUAGCUGGUCUGAGAGGAUGAUCAGCCACACUGGAGCUGAGACACGGUCCAGACUCCUACGGGAGGCAGCAGUGGGGAAUAUUGGACAAUGGGCGCAAGCCUGAUCCAGCCAUACCGCGUGGGUGAAGAAGGCCUUCGGGUUGUAAAGCCCUUUUGUUGGGAAAGAAAAGCAGCAGGUUAAUACCCCGCUGUUCUGACGGUACCCAAAGAAUAAGCACCGGCUAACUUCGUG